UACGGUCUGUGCAUCUCGACAACCGAAAGCUUUAAUAACCCGAACAACUUUUUUAAUAGGGAUUUAUACUCGCAUUACGGGUAUGCAGACCUCCCGCCCUAUCGGCGGACGCUGGGAGCACAAAAUAAUGCGGAUGAAGCCCACCUGCUUUAACUGCAGGUUAUCUUCAGCUUUCGGCGGAUGUGCGGAUUUUCU
rnacentral:other from 1 species